rnacentral:rRNA from 1 species
UACGUAGGUGGCAAGCGUUGUCCGGAUUUAUUGGGUUUAAAGGGUGCGUAGGCGGCCUUGUAAGUCAGUGGUGAAAUACUCUAGCUUAACUAGAGGGGUGCCAAUGAUACUGCAGGGCUUGAGUACAGAUGAGGUAGGCGGAAUUGGCGGUGUAGCGGUGAAAUGCAUAGAUAUCGUCAAGAACACCUAUAGCGAAGGCAGCUUACUGGGCUGUAACUGACGCUGAGGCACGAAAGUGUGGGGAUCAAACAGG